rnacentral:lncRNA from 1 species
GUAGGAAUCCUUGUUCUUCUAGGAAUCCUCAUGUGAUUAGGAAUCCAUCUUCAAUUACGAAUCCUUCGUCGAUUAGGAAUCCCUCGUCGAUUAGGAAUCCUCCUUCAUGUAAGCACUUUCCUACUUCAACUAGGAAACCUUGUUCAAGUAGGAAUCAUCAUCUUCAAGUCUUCAAAUUCGUACAAACCUUGGCUCCAAAUAUGUGACAUGCAUUCCAAGCUCCAAAUUGCUCCAAAAUGCUCCAAAAUGCAUCUUCUUGCACACUUUGACCUUAGAACCUGAAAACACACAAAAGUGACUUUAAACACUAAAAUAGCUAAGUAAACACAACCUAAAUGCACGAGAACAAGCCAAUUAAGUAGCAUAAAUAUGCUCACGAACAGGUAUGCUCACGAACAGGUUGUGAGCUACGGGUCAUAAACUAGUACCUGCACACAAGAGCAACAAGGUUAGUAACCAACUCACUAGACUCGGCACAAGUAACAAAUUAAGGUGCCUAUGCACAGCACAAAAACAAACACACACACAUGGUGCAAAAUUCAAAAACAAAACAGAAAACGAAACAAUUUAAACAAGACUCAAGACAAGGGAUUAGCAACUUUGCUAAUCCCCGGCAACGGCGCCAAAAUUUUAUGUGAAAAUUAUGUUGACACACAAAUUAAACCCUAUUUGUGACAAUUGUAGUAAUGAUGUAAGUAGGGAUCGUUCUAACCGGGGAUUAACUAGGGGUACUAAUCACUUGAAAACUGAAUUAGAAAUGUAAAAACAAAGUUUAAAACACUAGAUUAGACUCAAGGAAUGCAAAACUAAUGUUUAAAAUACUAAAACAAACGAAAACUCAAAACAGCA